AUGAAGGGAGCGGGAUUCUCCUCACCUCCUCAGUGGUCCUCUGGAGAAGAGGCGAGACCCAGUUUGCCCAGUUCUGGGGGCAGAAGAAGGCGCGAGGGAGAGAACGAGCCGGCGCCUCGCUCGGAAGCUGCGAGCAGCCCGCAGGUCAAAUGCAGCCUGUUCGGCACUAGAGGGGUCCUUUUGCAGGACUGUAAGAAUCCAGCAGAAAAGAGCAUCUUACUGUUCGAUGACAUAUCUGGAGAUAUCUCCUUGCUUUCCAAGGUGGCAUUGCAGGUGUCUUCAGCAGAAAAUGAGAACACACUGAGGUUGUAA
rnacentral:lncRNA from 1 species